rnacentral:rRNA from 1 species
CAGUCGUACCAGCGGGAAUCAACCUUUCGAGUGGGGGUUUUGGAGUUUUGAAGGGUUUCAAAACCUUUGAGAUUUCAAAAAUUUCGCUCUUUUGGUGUACUUUCUCGUGGGUAGGUUAACAUCGAUUUUGAUCAUCAUAAAAAGAUUGGAGGAAUGUAGCUUCGAUCUUGUAUUGAAGUGUUAUAGCCUUUGGUAAAUGUGAUGAUUAGGAUCGAGGAUUGCAACGAAUACCCUUUUGGGCUAUCCGCCUGAUCUCUGAUACGUGGCCUUGGUAUCGAAAGCUUGCUUAUGGUAUUAAGGUAUUACGGUCAAAAGGUUAGAACGGAUUACAUUCGUUAAGGAUGUUGACGUA